rnacentral:rRNA from 1 species
UACGUAGGGUGCAAGCGUUAAUCGGAAUUACUGGGCGUAAAGCGUGCGCAGGCGGUUUGGCAAGAAAGAUGUGAAAUCCCAGGGCUUAACCUUGGAACUGCAUUUUUAACUGCCAGACUAGAGUAUGUCAGAGGGGGGUAGAAUUCCACGUGUAGCAGUGAAAUGCGUAGAUAUGUGGAGGAAUACCGAUGGCGAAGGCAGCCCCCUGGGAUAAUACUGACGCUCAUGCACGAAAGCGUGGGGAGCAAACAGGAUUAGAUACCCUGGUAGUCCACGCCCUAAACGAUGUCAACUAGCUGUUGGGGCCUUCGGGCCUUAGUAGCGCAGCUAACGCGUGAAGUUGACCGCCUGGGGAGUACGGUCGCAAGAUUAAA